rnacentral:rRNA from 1 species
AACGAACGCUGGCGGCAUGCCUAACACAUGCAAGUCGAACGAGACCUUCGGGUCUACUGGCGCACGGGUGCGUAACGCGUGGGAACCUGCCCUUAGGUUCGGAAUAACUCCCCGAAAGGGGUGCUAAUACCGGAUAAUGUCUUCGGACCAAAGAUUUAUCGCCUUUGGAUGGGCCCGCGUUGGAUUAGCUAGUUGGUAUGGUAAAAGCCUACCAAGGCGACGAUCCAUAGCUGGUCUGAGAGGAUGAUCAGCCACACUGGGACUGAGACACGGCCCAGACUCCUACGGGAGGCAGCAGUGGGGAAUAUUGGACAAUGGGCGAAAGCCUGAUCCAGCAAUGCCGCGUGAGUGAUGAAGGCCUUAGGGUUGUAAAGCUCUUUUACCCGGGAUGAUAAUGACAGUACCGGGAGAAUAAGCUCCGGCUAACUCCGUG